AUUGAACGCUGGCGGCAGGCCUAACACAUGCAAGUCGAGCGGAGCUGCGGAAGGGUGAGUAAUGCCUAGGAAUCUGCCUGGGCGUGGGGGAUAACGUACGGAAACGGGCGCUAAUACAGCAUACGAUAAGAGGAGCCUAGGUCGGAUUAGAUAGUUGGUGGGGGAAAGGCCUACAAAGGCGACGAUCCGUAAGUGGUCUGAGAGGAUGAUCAGUCCCACUGGAACUGAGACACGGUCCAUACUCCGACGGGAGGCAGCAGUGGGGAAUAUUGGACAAUGGGCGAAAGCCUGAUCCAGCCAUGCCGCGUGUGUGAAGAAGGUCUUCGGAUUGUAAAGCACUUUAAGUUGGGAGGCGUUACCAACAGAAUAAGCACCGGCUAACUUCGUGCCAGCAGCCGCGGUAAUUC
rnacentral:rRNA from 1 species